rnacentral:rRNA from 1 species
UUNUGAACUGGGUAGCUAGAGUAUGUCAGAGAGGGGUAGAAUUCCACGUGUAGCAGUGAAAUGCGUAGAGAUGUGGAGGAAUACCGAUGGCGAAGGCAGCCCCCUGGGAUAAUACUGACGUUCAUGCUNGAAAGCGUGGGUAGCAAACAGGAUUAGAUACCCUGGUAGUNCACGCCCUAAACGAUGUCGAUUAGCUGUUGGGCAACUUGAUUGCUUAGUAGCGUAGCUAACGCGUGAAAUCGACCGCCUGGGGAGUACGGUCGCAAGAUUAAAACUCAAAGGAAUUGACGGGGACCCGCACAAGCGGUGGAUGAUGUGGAUUAAUUCGAUGCAACGCGAAGAACCUUACCUGGUCUUGACAUGUACGGAAGAACUCAGAGACGAGUUUGUGCCUUCGGGAACCGUAACACAGGUGCUGCAUGGCUGUCGUCAGCUCGUGUCGUGAGAUGUUGGGUUAAGUCCCGCAACGAGCGCAACCCUUGUCAUUAGUUGCCAUCAUUUAGUUGGGCACUCUAAUGAGACUGCCGGUGACAAACCGGAGGAAGGUGGGGAUGACGUCAAGUCCUCAUGGCCCUUAUGACCAGGGCUUCACACGUCAUACAAUGGUCGGUACAGAGGGUAGCCAAGCCGCGAGGUGGAGCCAAUCCCAGAAAACCGAUCGUAGUCCGGAUUGCACUCUGCAACUCGAGUGCAUGAAGUCGGAAUCGCUAGUAAUCGCAGGUCAGCAUACUGCGGUGAAUACGUUCCCGGGUCUUGUACACACCGCCCGUCACACCAUGGGAGUGGGGGAUACCAGAAGUAGGUAGGGUAAC